rnacentral:rRNA from 1 species
CACGUAGGGCGCAAGCGUUGUCCGGAAUUAUUGGGCGUAAAGAGCUCGUAGGCGGUCUGUUGCGUCCGCUGUGAAAACUCGGGGGCUUAACCCCCGAGCCUGCAGUGGAUACGGGCAGACUAGAGGUAGGUAGGGGGAGAAUGGAAUUCCCGGUGUAGCGGUGAAAUGCGCAGAUAUCGGGAGGAACACCGGUGGCGAAGGCGGUUCUCUGGGCCGAUACUGACGCUGAGGAGCGAAAAGCGUGGGGGAGCGAACAGG